ACGAACGCUGGCGGCGUGCCUAAUACAUGCAAGUCGAACGAACCGCGACUAGGUGCUUGCACUUGGUCAAGGUGAGUGGCGAACGGGUGAGUAACACGUGGGUAACCUACCUCAUAGUGGGGGAUAACAGUCGGAAACGACUGCUAAUACCGCAUAGGACAUAGGAUCACAUGAUCCAGUGAGGAAAGGUGGCGCAAGCUAUCGCUAAGAGAUGGACCCGCGGUGCAUUAGCUAGUUGGUAGGGUAAAGGCCUACCAAGGCGAUGAUGCAUAGCCGACCUGAGAGGGUGAUCGGCCACAUUGGGACUGAGACACGGCCCAAACUCCUACGGGAGGCAGCAGUAGGGAAUCUUCCGCAAAGGACGCAAGUCUGACGGAGCAACGCCGCGUGAGUGAAGAAGGUCUUCGGAUCGUAAAGCUCUGUUGUUAGAGAAGAACAGCGCAUAGAGUAACUGUUAUGCGUGUGACGGUAUCUAACCAGAAAGCCACGGCUAACUACGUG
rnacentral:rRNA from 1 species